GAUGGUGAUAGAAGUUUGAAAAAUGAUUAGAUGUUGAGAAAGCCAUAAACUGGUAUAAAACCUCACAAAGGCUUUGAUUUCCCUAUCCAGUGUUCAAUCUAAAUUAGUUGAGAAACCCUGUUUAUAUCAGAAUCAAAAUCAAGAUUGUCCUUCAAAGUGAAUUUGCGGAGCCUAUUUCCCAUCACAUAGACUUGAAUGGCACAAUUCAACCAAAGCCAGCUGGUCAGUCUGAUUACAGUCCUUUGAGAUCAUUUGAUCUGAGUGGAACAGUUUAAGAACAGCCUUUUGUCUUUGAACAAAUACAAGAUGAAAAUCUUUAUACAAGGUGAGAAUCCUGAACUUCGCAUACCCAGUAGUGCUUCUAACUCAUCUUUCUUGGUCAUUAUACAGGUUGACUGCCUUGCAGCAAAUGCAUUGUAGCUGCUUUUGAAGCUCAAGACGCACCUGAAAACUGUGUAUAGCCUAAAUGAUUCCCGGUGCCAGGCUUUUUCUCCAACUGAACCCCCAAAGCCAGGAGAGCCUCUCUCGAGGCAGAACAUUCCCUUCGACAUCAAUCACGCAUGCACCGGUGUGCCAUCCAAGUAUCAAGAUUUGGUUCAGAGAUAUCAGGAAUUCAAAGGUGCCUUAAAGGAGGAUACAGUUGAUUAUUCAACGUACACAGCAAACAUCAAGCGGAAAAGACUGACCCCAAGAAAGUUGAAAUCUGGACGUAUGAUGGGAGAUGAUGAAGAUGACUAUGACGAUGAAGAUUGGGCGGGUGGGGGUCGGAGGCAAGGUAGUGGGAGGAAAGACAACAGCAUUAGAGGCGGUAGGCACCGACGAUAGUUUUGUAAAUAUGAAACAGGGUAGGCUAACACGUGUAGAUUAUUGUGCAGGAGAGAGGGAAAUAGCAGUAGGAUAGAAUGACAGCAAAAGAAUAGAAUUUUUUGAAACGGGAGAAAGAAGCAUGGUCGGUCUUCAUGGUAGGGAAGCAGUUUUUCAAGCUAUCCAUCUCCCUUUUGUAAUUUGUUUGACAGUUGACACGACUACAUUCUUUGCCUUCAAUGAAAUUCAAGAAUCCUGCGUUGGUUACAUAA